AUGCAGUCGAGCGGAUGAAGGGAGCUUGCUCCUGGAGUUAGCGGCGGACGGGUGAGUAAAGCCUAGGAAUCUGCCUGGUAGUGGGGGACAACGACUCGAAAGGGUCGCUAAUACCGCAUACGUCCUACGGGAGAAAGUGGGGGAUCUUCGGACAUCACGCUAUCAGAUGAGCCUAGGUCGGAUUAGCUUGUAGGUGAGGUAAUGGGUCACCUAAGCAACGAUCCGUAACUGGUCUGAGAGGAUGAUCAGUCACACUGGAACUGAAACACGGUCCAGACUCCUACGGGAGGCACCAGUGGGGAAUAUUGGACAAUGGGCGAAAGCCUGAUCCAACCAUGCCGCGUGUGUGAAGAAGGUCUUCGGAUUGUAAAGCACUUUAAGUUGGGAGGAAGGGUUGUAGUUUAAUACGCUGCAACUUUGACGUUACCAACAGAAUAAGCACCGGCUAACGCUGUGCGAGCAGCCGCGGUAAUACAGAGGG
rnacentral:rRNA from 1 species